UACGUAGGGUGCGAGCGUUACUCGGAUUCAUUGGGCGUAAAGGGUGCGUAGGCGGCGCGGUAAGUCGGGUGUGAAAUCUCGGAGCUUAACUCCGAAACUGCAUUCGAUACUGCCGUGCUUGAGGACUGGUGAGGAGACUGGAAUUUACGGUGUAGCGGUGAAAUGCGUAGAUAUCGUAAGGAAGACCAGUGGCGAAGGCGGGUCUCUGGACAGUUCCUGACGCUGAGGCACGAAGGUCAGGGGAGCAAACGGG
rnacentral:rRNA from 1 species